rfam:Gorilla gorilla gorilla genomic chromosome, chr3, whole genome shotgun sequence
GCUAGGUGCAGUGGUGCACACCUGUAGUCCUAGCUACUUGGGAGGCUAGGGCAGGAGGAUCACUUGAGCCCAGGAGGUCGAGGCUGCAGUGAGCUAUGAUCACGCCACUGCAGUCCAGCCUGGGUGACAGAGUGAGCUCUUGUCUC